rnacentral:rRNA from 1 species
ACGCCAGCGGGAGGCCUAACACAUGCAAGUCGAGGGGUAACGGAAGUAGCUUGCUACUAGACGACGACCGGCGCACGGGUGAGUAACGCGUAUGUAAUCUGCCUUGUACAGAGGGAUAGCCCAGAGAAAUUUGGAUUAAUACCUCAUAGUAUUACCGAAUCGCAUGAUUUGGUAAUUAAAGCUCCGGCGGUACAAGAUGAACAUGCGUGACAUUAGCUAGUUGGUAAGGUAACGGCUUACCAAGGCUACGAUGUCUAGGGGUUCUGAGAGGAUGAUCCCCCACACUGGUACUGAGACACGGACCAGACUCCUACGGGAGGCAGCAGUGAGGAAUAUUGGUCAAUGGACGCAAGUCUGAACCAGCCAUCCCGCGUGAAGGAUGACUGCCCUAUGGGUUGUAAACUUCUUUUAUAUGCAAAUAAACCUACUUUCGUGAAAGUAGCUGAAGGUAGCAUAUGAAUAAACACCGGCUAACUCCGUGCCAGCAGCCGCGGUAAUACGGAGGGUGUAAGCGUUAUCCGGAUUUAUUGGGUUUUAAGGGUACGUAGGCGGUA